rnacentral:rRNA from 1 species
ACGGGGGGAGCAAGCGUUAUCCGGAAUGAUUGGGCGUAAAGCGUCUGUAGGUGGUUUAAAAAGUCGACUGUCAAAUACCAAGGCUCAACCUUGGGCAGGCAGUCGAGUACUUUUAGACUUGAGUGCGGUAGAGGUAGAGGGAAUCCCUAGCGUAACAGUGAAAUGUGUAGAUUUUAGGGAGAACACCAGCGGCGAAGGCGCUCUACUGGGCCGAGACUGACACUGAGAGACGAAAGCUAAGGGAGCGAAUAGGAUUAGAUACCCUAGUAGUCUUAGCUGUAAACGAUGGAAACUAAGUGCUGCCGAAUGCAGUGCUGUAGCUAACGCGUUAAGUUUCCCGCCUGGGGAGUAUGCUCGCAAGAGUG